rnacentral:rRNA from 1 species
UACAGAGGGGGCAAGCGUUGUUCGGAAUUACUGGGCGUAAAGGGCGCGUAGGCGGCCUUCUAAGUCAGACGUGAAAUCCCUCGGCUUAACCGGGGAACUGCGUCUGAUACUGGAUGGCUCGAGUUUGGGAGAGGGAUGCGGAAUUCCAGGUGUAGCGGUGAAAUGCGCAGAUAUCAGGAGGAACACCAAUGGCGAAGGCAGCUCGCUGGGACGUGACUGACGCUGAGACGCGAAAGCGUGGGGAGCAAACAGG